rnacentral:rRNA from 1 species
GAUGAACGCUGGCGGCGUGCCUAAUACAUGCAAGUAGAACGCUGAAGGAAGGAGCUUGCUCUUUCCGGAUGAGUUGCGAACGGGUGAGUAACGCGUAGGUAACCUGCCUGGUAGCGGGGGAUAACUAUUGGAAACGAUAGCUAAUACCGCAUAACAGUAGAUGUUGCAUGAUAUCUACUUAAAAGGUGCAAUUGCACCACUACCAGAUGGACCUGCGUUGUAUUAGCUAGUUGGUGAGGUAACGGCUCACCAAGGCGACGAUACAUAGCCGACCUGAGAGGGUGAUCGGCCACACUGGGAGUGAGACACGGCCCAGACUCCUACGGGAGGCAGCAGUAGGGAAUCUUAGGCAAUGGACGGAAGUCUGACCGAGCAACGCCGCGUGAGUGAAGAAGGUGUUCGGAUCGUAAAGCUCUGUUGUAAGAGAAGAACGAGUGUGAGAGUGGAAAGUUCACACUGUGACGGUAUCUUACCAGAAAGGGACGGCUAACUACGUG